GAUUAACGCUGGCGGCGUGCAUAACACAUGCAAGUCGAACGAUGAAACUUAAAUGAUUUCUUCGGAAUGAACUUAAGUGGAUUAGUGGCGGACGGGUGAGUAACGCGUGAGUAACCUGCCUUACACAAGGGGAUAGCCGUUGGAAACGACGAAUAAUACCCUAUGAAACUAUCACUUCGCAUGAAGCGAUAGUCAAAGUGUUAGCGGUGUAAGAUGGACUUGCGUCUGAUUAGCUAGUUGGUGAGAAAAAAGCCCACCAAGGCAACGAUCAGUAGCCGGCUUGAGAGAGUGUACGGCCACAUUGGGACUGAGACACGGCCCAGACUCCUACGGGAGGCAGCAGUGGGGAAUUAUGCACAAUGGGGGAAACCCUGAUGCAGCGACGCCGCGUGAUUUAGAAGGCCUUCGGGUUGUAAAAAUCUUUUGUAUAGGAAGAAAAUGACAGUACUAUACGAAUAAGGUCCGGCUAAUUACGUG
rnacentral:rRNA from 1 species